rnacentral:lncRNA from 1 species
CCACAGGCUCAAAUGCAGAUAUAAACGAGGAAUCCUGGAUUCUUGAAUGAUCCUGUGGAGCACAGCAGACCUCAGGGUGAAGAGUUCACUUAACUCAACACUGUUAAGUGAGAAUUAAGUAAACUUAUGCUGUGUUUGGCUAAGGGGGUUCAGAUCUUGUGUAGAAGAGAGGAUUAACAUUACUGAGCCCUCUCAGUCCAAUCCAGAGGGCAUCAAUAUGGUUGAGCAGAAUAACAGCACACUCUAGACAACAGAAACAACAGCCAGAGGACUGAGAAGGGAAAGACGAUUGGGAAACAGCUCAAAUAAUAUUCAAGACAUUCCAACCCCACCUUGGAACUCCCAGAGAGAUGCAAAAAAAGAAGGUGAUGUAGAUAUGCCAUAUGGCAGGUAAGGAAUAAUACUAGAACAGAUGGAAUAAACCAGUGAGAUCCAGCUGAACUAUUCAAAUGACACUGAAGGACUGAAGAUUCUCAAGGAUGCAGGGUUUUGAAGAUGUUCACAAAUCAAUAUAAAGAAAUAGAGAUGAGAAGGCGGAACAAGAUGGCUGAAUAGAAGCCUCCAGCGAUUGUCCCUCCCACGAAACACCAAACAGAACAUCUAUCCACAGAAAAAAAGCAUGUUCAUAAGAACCAAAAAUCAGACGCUGAUGAACACCCACAAGCAUCAAGGCCAUCCGGGGAAACAUGAUGUCACCAAUGAACUAAAUAAGGCACCACGGACCAGUCCUAGAGAGACACAGAUAUAUUACCUUUUAGACUGAGAGUUCAAAAUAGCUGUUUUGAGGAAGCUCAACAAAAUCCAAGAUAACACAGAGAAGGAAA